rnacentral:rRNA from 1 species
UACAGAGGUCCCGAGCGUUGUUCGGAUUUAUUGGGCGUAAAGGGCGCGUAGGCGGCGGGGCAAGUCGGGUGUGAAAUCUCAGGGCUCAACCCUGAAACUGCACUCGAUACUGCUCUGCUUGAGGACUGGAGAGGAGACUGGAAUUCACGGUGUAGCAGUGAAAUGCGUAGAUAUCGUGAGGAAGACCAGUGGCGAAGGCGGGUCUCUGGACAGUUCCUGACGCUGAGGCGCGAAGGCCAGGGGAGCAAACGGG